GACGAACGCUGGCGGCGUGCUUAACACAUGCAAGUCGAACGGAAAGGCCCUGCUUUUGUGGGGUGCUCGAGUGGCGAACGGGUGAGUAACACGUGAGUAACCUGCCCUUGACUUUGGGAUAACUUCAGGAAACUGGGGCUAAUACCGGAUAGGAGCUCCUGCUGCAUGGUGGGGGUUGGAAAGUUUCGGCGGUUGGGGCUGGACUCGCGGCUUAUCAGCUUGUUGGUGGGGUAGUGGCUUACGAAGGCUUUGACGGGUAGCCGGCCUGGGAGGGUGACCGGCCACAUUGGGACUGCGAGACGGCCCAGACUCCUACGGGAGGCAGCAGUGGGGAAUAUUGCAGAAUGGGCGGAAGCCUGAUGCAGCAACGCCGCGUGCGGGAUGACGGCCUUCGGGUUGUAAACCGCUUUCGCCUGUGACGAAGCGUGAGUGACGGUAAUGGGUAAAGAAGCACCGGCUAACUACGUG
rnacentral:rRNA from 1 species